rnacentral:rRNA from 1 species
UACGAAGGGGGCUAGCGUUGCUCGGAAUGACUGGGCGUAAAGGGCGCGUAGGCGGUUCGUACAGUCAGACGUGAAAUUCCCGGGCUCAACCUGGGGGCUGCGUUUGAUACGUACGGGCUUGAGUUCGGAAGAGGGUCGUGGAAUUCCCAGUGGAGAGGUGAAAUUCGUAGAUAUUGGGAAGAACACCGGUGGCGAAGGCGGCGACCUGGUCCGAUACUGACGCUGAGGCGCGAAAGCGUGGGGAGCGAACAGG